UACGUAGGGUGCGAGCGUUAAUCGGAAUUACUGGGCGUAAAGCGUGCGCAGGCGGUUUUGUAAGCCAGAUGUGAAAUCCCCGGGCUUAACCUGGGAAUGGCAUUUGCGACUGCAAGGCUGGAGUGCGGCAGAGGAGACUGGAAUUCCUGGUGUAGCAGUGAAAUGCGUAGAUAUCAGGAGGAAUACCGAUGGCGAAGGCAGGUCUCUGGGCUGACACUGACGCUCAUGCACGAAAGCGUGGGGAGCAAACAGG
rnacentral:rRNA from 1 species